GAAAAGAUUCAUGAGAAAUAAACAUUAUAAUCCGAACAAAUAAAUCAAUUAGUCAAUAUAUCAUUUAGCCGAAUUAAAGACGCUGCUUGCGCUUCGUAGUUCUGAGCUUAGAAUCAAGUAGAGAACUGAAUAUGAAAUUUUUAAUUGCUGAGAAUAUGAAUUUGAGGUUGAUGGACGACUUGAAAGAGAGGGACAAGAAAGAAUGAUACAGAGCAGGUGGCUGGCAAAAGGGACCUUAUGACGAUCUUCUUCAGUACAGCUAUGAUGCCGCUUCCACCUUCAAUUGAAUGUCAGAAAAUUCAAAGUUUGUCAAAAGAGGAUGGUAAAUUAAGCUGUUUUUUUUUUUUCUUUUUUGCAAAAUUUACCAAGUGAAUUAAUCCAUUAUUUUAUCUAUCAAUCAGUACACAAUCUACAUUACCCCACGCUAACAAAACACUGACUAUAAAUCUAUGACUAUACAAUGCGCACUUUGGUUACUGCCCCAGCCCUCUUACCCAAAAGAACCACAAAAGCAACGAAAAACUAAAUUGAUUACAUAAUCAAAUCAAGUUCUUCUUAGCUACUGUGAUCGAUUUGUCCAGCACCAUCAGUUAAUUUCUCUAGUUUUCAGCAAAAAUGGUCGAGUUCUUGAGUCUUCUUUGCACGUUUCAUCUCAUUUAUUCUGUCGAUAAAGCUUAUACACAUCAUCCGCAACGACAACAAAUUAAAUUAAUAUGUGUCGAGUUUUGGAGCCAGAGCCAGCGGUGCAAGCGCAAGAGAAAGGGACUUCACACAAGAAUUUGCCAGACCAUGGGCUACAGAAAGGUGCCUCACUUCACGGACGCGGAAUUUGGUUGGCUCCUGGGCCAUUAAGGGUGAAUGCAUCUUUCUUUUUAUGUGAAUUUAAUUAUUGAACCCGGUAUCUUGAAUAAAUAUAAAUUUGACUGUAGCACCAAGUAUCAAUGAUUGCAAAAUGUAAAUUUGACAUAUUGUGUGGUUAAAUCAUCUUGUACUAAUCGUUUAUGUUAAUUUAUGGAGGCCUUAAUGUCCAAGGCAUACGUAAAGGGGUACAGGACUGACUCUGCUUCUGGCUUCUAAGGAGAAUGAGGGGAAAAUUUUAUAAACAUUUGUGGAGUGGCCGUAUAAAGGACGUGUGGUUCUCAAUCCAUUUCACAUUUGGCAUUGUAAUGUUUAUGGACUCAUAUAAAUGAUGUCACACAAAUAGUUAAACGAAGAAGGUGUUUGAUGAAAACGAAAGGGCCUUUUUCUUUUUUUAAAUCCCGCUAAAGGUUAUAAUUAACAACAAAUUAAUAAUAGAAGAGAGAGAAAUACCAAGUUCAAUACGGUAAUAUUUUAUCUUCCUUUUAACUGCUCUCCUUUGGCUUAUAAUGCGACCUUUACACUCGUGGACAAAAUUGUAUUUGUCGCUUAAGUCUUGCUUGUUUUAAAAUGCUGGCAUAUUUAUGGAGUGGGAACCCAGAUGCUGAACUCAUAGUAAAUAUUUAUUUAAUUUGUUAGAAUUAUUUUUGGUGGGAUAAUUUUAAAUAUUAAUUUAACAAGAUAGUGAUGUUUGCCUUGCCCUACAUGGAAAAAAUAAUAAUAAUUAAAGUUUUUUCUGUUCCUUUAUAUUAGUAAUAGAUUUCAGAUGGGAAACAGAAAAUUUAUUUCUGUUUCAAUAAUUACCAUAUCACUGUGUGCGUGCGUGAUCACAUAAUUUUGUACUACCGUCUGUGGAAUAACUUUAGGAAAAGAAAAUUAAUUUUUUUUAAGUAACAAUAAAUAUUUUAAAUUGUUUUCUUCUCUUAUCAAUUGUUUUUUUCUCCUAUCUUCCAAUGAAAGUGCAGGACCUCAAUUAUUUUAAUAGAGAUGUAGUAAUAAAUUAUUAGGGGAUCCAUAAAAUAAAUAUACAUGGUUUCAAAAAAGUUAGCACAUGCUUGUUACAAAUAUAAAAAAUUAUCUUAAAAGUCUCGGAACUUUUGUGUUCUCUUUAAUAUUUUUUUCUUAUGUUGUUAUUGUACUAUAUGGAUACAAGGGUGCGUUUGGUACGUUGUAUUAUAUUAUGUUGUAUUGCAUUAUUUUAAUAUAGGUAUAUUACAUUAUGUUGUGUUGUAUUAGUAAUGUAUUAUAAUAAUGUUGUACAAUGUUUGGUACUAUACUGUAUUGUAUUAAUUUUUAAUUAAUAUUAUUCAAAUGUAUUCAUAUUUAAAUAUUUAUUAUUAGUUAUAUUAAAUUAUUUAAAAAUAACUAGUUUAAUUAUUUUAAUAUAAUUAAAUAAUAUUAUAAUAUAUUAUAUUAUUUAAGUAUUUAUUAUUAGUUAUAUUAACUUAUUAAAAAUUAAUCAAUUAUAUAUAUUAAUUAAUAUAAUUUUACAUAUUAAUUAAUAUAAUAUAAUUAAAUAAUACAUUUUUUAGUUGUACAUUUACUAUAAUAAAAAUUAAAAUAUAAUAUAAUAUUAAAUUAAAAAUUAUAUUCAUUUAUUAUUAUUACAAAGUAUAAAAAAAAAAAAAAAAGGAAGCUAAAGCUAAUGCGGUAACUGGACACAUUAGCUAAACCCGACUAUAACAUAUGUCGGGUUUAGCUAAUACAACCAUUUGGUACCUCAGACAUGGUGCUGCAUUGCUAAUGCAAUGUAAUCCCAGGUAAAGAGGGGUACCAGACAACCCCCAAGUUCACUUAAUGUAACAUAACAUACUUUUUUUUUCUAUAUAUAUAUAUACACUACGUGGAAGUGAGCUCCUUAAGGUGAGAUUUAGCAAAAUUAUAAAUUAUUACAGCAUGAAAUUUAUUUUUAUUUAUAAUUGGCCUAAUAUAAAUUAGGACCAGUACUUUUAUAGCUAUAUGAAAUUAUUUUUAUAUAAAAUAUCACUACAUAAAUGUUUUAUUACAAUAUUAAUCUCUUUUUUUUAUUGUAUUUAUCUCUUCAUAAUCUUUUCCUUUUUAUAAAAAAAAAAAAUCAACUAAAAGAUUCAUCAACAUCUCAUUCCAACAAUCUACUAGCGAAAAUGAGUGUCCAUGCUUUUGAACCAAGGCCCGAUAUGUGAGGGAGAGAUUGUUGGGUUGUCUUACAUCGGUUGUGAACUAGGAUGGUGGUGAUUUUACAAGUGUGAGGGAAAGUCUCACCCCUUAUCCAUCUUUUGGGUUGGGAUUGAAUGAGACCCAAAACCGCUUAACAUGAAUUCUAUCACUGGGAUUUUUACCCAGUAUAACAAACAUAACAACACAAUGAAUUAUCAAUUUAUCACGUAAUGGCUCUAACUUUAGCGAUGAUCACCUUACAUGAACAUGAAAAUUAAUCCCAUUGUUUAACUCAACAAUGACGAUAAUCACUUAAACUCUUAUGCACCAAAGGAUAUACUCGCUACAGGGAAUCUUAACUCAUAAAGAUUAAUUUUAGUGGGGGGCAAAAGAGCACGAGUGAUCCAAACCACUAAACAACAUCAUAACCAACACAAAAUUUAUACUAAACAAACCAUUACCAAAACAGCAAAGCUAGACAUAAAUUUGAACAGAUACACAAGCUACAUUCAUUACCAUAAUGUAUCGACUAAAUUUCCAAGCUCUACAUUUUGAACAAAGAAUUUAUAAAAUUACAUAAUCUAAUAAAUUAAUAUAGAAAUAAAAUUGGCAUCAGAUCAAAUUACUAUUAAUGUACCUUGCAUAAACCAUUCUCUUCUAUCGGCAUUCACCUCCGCGCUCGAUUGGCUCUCCUGUGCUGCUUGUCUAAUUGAUUCAAAUCCACAUAGACAAAUUUAAGCAUAUUAAGUUUUCAAACUCAAAUCAACAGCUUUAAAAGUUACUUCACAAACAAUGAAUUUCAUUUUCGAAAUACAAAGAAUCCGUUCAGUUUAAAACAAUAAAAAAUCGUCUACGACUACUCAACUCAUGUAUGAUAACUAAAAAACGAAGGAUACCCACAAAAAUUAAAGAUAAAUUACCAAAAACCCAAAAAACUCAAGCCAAAAUUGCCAAAAAAAAAGCGAGAGAAUGGAAAUUGGCGUACCAGGGGCAGGAGAGAGGAAACGAGAAGAGGAAGAAAGAAGGGUUUUGGAGAGAGUGGGAAUUAGUGGAGGCAAAAAUGGAGAGUUUUGAGAGUGAGAUGAUUGGUGGGGUGGUGAUGGCGGUGGUGGGGUUAAUGUUCUGGAGGGUAUGCUGAAGAGAGGUCGCAAGAGAACCUCCAUAGCCUUUAAAGAGAGUUGAGUUGCUGCUUUCUUUUGCCGUGGAUGGAGAGAGAUUAAGGGAUUAGAAUUCUGUAUUGAAUUAAUUUUUUAUUAAAUAAAAAA
rnacentral:lncRNA from 1 species